AAGCUCGAUAUGUUUAGUUUAUGGAUUUAAAUAAAAAUUAAUAGGUUCAAAGCGUGACGUUUGAUGCUAUUGACUGUUGAGGUACGCCUGAUUACUGUGCGGGUUUAACGGUAAAACUAUGAAUAGCAUGGGACCAUUCACGUUAAUCAAUUUCAUAUUAGUAGCUAGCUUAGGCCUGUAUGGUCCUCCAUCAAAAAACCAUCUUCUCUUUGUUUUUCCUUGCUUUUUUAUUACUGCGCAUGCGAUCAUAUUCAUACGCAGGAUUGGAGUUAGCUUUCACCUGGAUCUUGCAGAACCUGGCUGGUUGCUUCUACUCUCAGUCCCAAACGAAGGUUUCUAUUUGUAACCCUACUCUUGUAAAACUAAUGCGUUGCUUGUUUUACUGUCUCUGACUAAUGGGUGUUGUUCUUGUUUUUGCUUUAAUUUAGUGAAAAUUUAGUCAUUUGCAGACUCGGUUCUACUGAUUUUAUGUUGUACCAUGGGUGAUUUGUAGCUGUGAGGGUUGAAGAGAAGAAGAAACCCUGGGGGAAUAGGUUUUGGGUGUGGUGACUGGUGACGAGUCUUCUUCAUCCACAAUUUUCUGCAUCUAUAUCUUCUCUCUUGCUUUUUUCUCAUGUUCCUUUUGCAGGAUUUGAGUUUUGUAACUUUAGAUGGAGAUGUGCAGAAGAAAAACUUAUAGAACAGUUUUGGCGCCAUCAUCAUUUUGGCUGCAUUCUUCUCCACUAUGUAGCUUCAGCAGACGACUGGAAUAAAUGGGGUUGUCGGAUCAAAGCUUCCUUUGAAAUCGCAAGCGCAUGUGGGGAGCCGUUUUUCUAGUUUCAGAUUAUCUUAUUACUUGAUAGGGACAACUGGCAAGACCUGCUUGGGGAAAUCUUUGUUUAGAUGAAACAAAAUAGUAGACUGAAUAUGAACCUGUAGUAGGGUGCUAGUGGGUCAUAUUUAGACUGUAACUUUGUGAAUGAGGAGAGAAGAUUUACUGCGAAGCUCUCUACUCGAAGUGAAAGCUUGCCUGUCUUAAGUGGAUACCUAGUAGCACCGUGGCAAGUGGUGAAGAAAAGGGGUUUUGUGCAUGAAUGCCAUGGGAAA